ensembl:lincRNA
AAUUAGUCAAUUUAUGUUUCAAUAAUUCUGCAUAGUAGUCUCCAAAAUCUCAGUAGCUUACAACACCAGCAUUUUUUUUUCCUUUUCUUUUUUUUUUUGUUUUUUGGUACACAGAUCUGUGGAGUGGCUGCAGCACCUGUGUUUCAGCCUGAAGAAUGGGCACAGCUACUGAGUGAUGAUGUUCUUUCUAUACAUCCCAAGCGUUCUGUACAUCUAUGCAUCCCAAGUGCAUCAAGAUGGACCAGGUUGUCAGCAUGUUCAGAGUAAACAUGAAGAUUUAUGAUGUGCAUCUAAUGCCUGGUUUGGGGUCUGCACCAUGUUGGAGUCCAAGACUCAAGUGGGCUUUCCUGGAUAUUUCAUGAUUCUGAAGAAGAAUUGGAGGUGAGACUUGAGAAAAUGGAGAAAAAGAUAUGCUUUGGAUUUUCUUGAAGAUUAGAAGCUUUCUUAACCAUCCACCACCUUGUUGAUUGGUUAUUAUUCUCUCUACCUUCUGUGAAACAAACUGAUAGAUACUAAUGGCACAAUUACACUUAUAGCUAGUCAGUUGCAUAGUUUAUGCACAUAGUUCUGCUUCCAGUGUUUAGUAAUGAGUUAAACAUUUUGGCUAUAUUUGUCUCUGAAGCUAUAAUUUAAUUAAUCAUUAUGUAUAGCAAUAAUAACAAGUAAAACAAAAAGAAGAAUUUUUUGUUUUUAUGGUAAUUAUGUUGGGUGCUUUGGAUCCUCCCAAUAAAGUUGACUUCCCUAAAAUAAUUACACUUGAAUUAGGUAUAGAGAAGCUAAUUGUAACAAAUUGAAAGUUACUGUAAAUCUUCUAAUCGUAGUUCUCUGCAAGUGUACUUAAGUUAUUGCUCCACUUGAAAUAAAUGAAAACUGGAAAUCUGAGGUGAUGAAUUAUGGGUCCCUUUUAUGUAAGAAAGAUGACAAGGAAAUCUAAUCUGCUGAGUUAUACUAAAAUAAAAUACCUUGGCCUGGGAUCAAAUAUAGGUGAAAGAAUUAACAUUUAUGUUUUUUAAUUAAGAUAAAAUGUACAAGUUUUAUGUACAUAUUUUAUGAUUUCCUGAUAUAACAAAAAGUGUUGAUAAAAGCACCCAAUACUGAUUCUAAUGACAUUUGAUUAGCAUUAGAGUUGCUAUUAUUAUUGUUGUUGUUGUCGUCAUUGUUAUUUGGUGACUGGGUGAAUAUUAGACACCCAGUUGCCGAAUGGGUGGUUGACAUCCACCACCACUGGCAAUGACGGAGCCAAGUAGAUACCAACAUUCAGGUGGGUGUGUAUAUUUUUACCUUUUUUGAAUGAACCCCUCCACUAUUCUUGGCAGCAAAAAACAUCAGAGAGAUUAAUCUAUACUAAUCAUUGUGUAACCCAUAGAUUAGCAAC